CCGAGCAGCCGGAGUGUUAGCGGUACUCUUUACCAUCAAUCCGCUAUAGUUGGGGUGAUGCCCCGCCUCGGGCUUUGGAAUUGCAGAGCCGCCCUUUAUAAGUGGCGUUGAAGCUUGGGUCUUAAGCGACGGAAAUCUGCGAACUGGGUCAGGUUGGGAACAAAGCAGCCCUAAGUAGAACCUUCCGGGUGCCUUGAGGGUGCCUGGGCUGAGUUAACUGUAGAGGUAACGUCUGUGGUUACGGGUUCAAAGCGGGACGCUCGG
rnacentral:SRP_RNA from 1 species